UCAUCUUCGGGGGUAGAGCACUGUUUCGGCUAGGGGGUCAUCCCGACUUACCAACCCGAUGCAAACUACGAAUACCGAAGAAUGUUAUCACGGGAGACACACGGCGGGUGCUAACGUCCGUCGUGAAGAGGGAAACAACCCAGACCGCCAGCUAAGGUCCCAAAGUCAUGGUUAAGUGGGAAACGAUGUGGGAAGGCACAGACAGCCAGGAUGUUGGCUUAGAAGCAGCCAUCAUUUAAAGAAAGCGUAAUAGCUCACUGGUCGAGUCGGCCUGCGCGGAAGAUGUAACGGGGCUAAACCAUGCACCGAAGCUGCGGCAGCGACACUAUGUGUUGUUGGGUAGGGGAGCGUUCUGUAAGCCUGCGAAGGUGACCUGUGAGGGUUGCUGGAGGUAUCAGAAGUGCGAAUGCUGACAUAAGUAACGAUAAAGCGGGUGAAAAGCCCGCUCGCCGGAAGACCAAGGGUUCCUGUCCAACGUUAAUCGGGGCAGGGUGAGUCGACCCCUAAGGCGAGGCCGAAAGGCGUAGUCGAUGGGAAACAGGUUAAUAUUCCUGUACUUGGUGUUACUGCGAAGGGGGGACGGAGAAGGCUAUGUUAGCCGGGCGACGGUUGUCCCGGUUUAAGCAUGUAGGCUGGUUAUCCAGGCAAAUCCGGAUAAUCAAGGCUGAGGUGUGAUGACGAGGCACUACGGUGCUGAAGUAACAAAUGCCCUGCUUCCAGGAAAAGCCUCUAAGCAUCAGGUAACAUCAAAUCGUACCCCAAACCGACACAGGUGGUCAGGUAGAGAAUACCAAGGCGCUUGAGAGAACUCGGGUGAAGGAACUAGGCAAAAUGGUGCCGUAACUUCGGGAGAAGGCACGCUGGUGUGUAGGUGAAGUCCCUGCGGAUGGAGCUGAGACCAGUCGAAGAUACCAGCUGGCUGCAACUGUUUAUUAAAAACACAGCACUGUGCAAACACGAAAGUGGACGUAUACGGUGUGACGCCUGCCCGGUGCCGGAAGGUUAAUUGAUGGGGUUAUCCGUAAGGAGAAGCUCUUGAUCGAAGCCCCGGUAAACGGCGGCCGUAACUAUAACGGUCCUAAGGUAGCGAAAUUCCUUGUCGGGUAAGUUCCGACCUGCACGAAUGGCGUAAUGAUGGCCAGGCUGUCUCCACCCGAGACUCAGUGAAAUUGAACUCGCUGUGAAGAUGCAGUGUACCCGCGGCAAGACGGAAAGACCCCGUGAACCUUUACUAUAGCUUGACACUGAACAUUGAGCCUUGAUGUGUAGGAUAGGUGGGAGGCUUUGAAGCGUGGACGCCAGUCUGCGUGGAGCCAACCUUGAAAUACCACCCUUUAAUGUUUGAUGUUCUAACGUUGGCCCCUGACCGGGGUUGCGGACAGUGUCUGGUGGGUAGUUUGACUGGGGCGGUCUCCUCCCAAAGCGUAACGGAGGAGCACGAAGGUUAGCUAAUCCUGGUCGGACAUCAGGAGGUUAGUGCAAUGGCAUAAGCUAGCUUGACUGCGAGCGUGACGGCGCGAGCAGGUGCGAAAGCAGGUCAUAGUGAUCCGGUGGUUCUGAAUGGAAGGGCCAUCGCUCAACGGAUAAAAGGUACUCCGGGGAUAACAGGCUGAUACCGCCCAAGAGUUCAUAUCGACGGCGGUGUUUGGCACCUCGAUGUCGGCUCAUCACAUCCUGGGGCUGAAGUAGGUCCCAAGGGUAUGGCUGUUCGCCAUUUAAAGUGGUACGCGAGCUGGGUUUAGAACGUCGUGAGACAGUUCGGUCCCUAUCUGCCGUGGGCGCUGGAGAAUUGAGGGGGGCUGCUCCUAGUACGAGAGGACCGGAGUGGACGCAUCACUGGUGUU
rnacentral:rRNA from 1 species